AGGACAGGGAGCCAGUGAAGGUGCUGGAGAAGUGUUGAUGUGUCAGCUCAAGUGAUUUACAUCAUCAAAUGUAAAAGGUUUUCUAGCUACAGUCACCUAGAUGUCUAAACCUCCUUCAAGAUUAUUGGAUGCAGAUCUUUUGGGGAAAGUGUUGACCAGAGGACACUGGAGUGACCUUGAGCUCUGACUGCUAAGAGUAAGAGAAGACAAAGUUUGAGGAUGAACCUUGUUUGGGAGAGAUGAUUAACCACCUACAUUCCUGAUUAAAAUAAAGAGACAGAACAGAAGACUGAACAAAAGGUUGAGAGUCUAGGAGAAAUGGUAUAGAAGGCAGAGUCAAGUUGAGUUGUGCCAUAUAGGUUUGUGGACUGAGCCAGCGUGUCUGAAGAUAUUGCUGUUGGAUACCUACGACAUGGCUUUUUCUGGGUUUGGGCACAUGGGGUAAAAAACCAGAGAAAUCACUAAUGAUAAGAAAAGCUGAGCAACUGACCCUGUCAUCUCCAGGCCGUCUCUGGUCAGACCAACUCCUUUACAAACAUCACCUUAAUUAAUUAAUUUAAAACUCUCCAUUAUCUGACAUUGACAGUCCUCAUUGCUGCUACCUUGUGUCUUUUAAUAUACAUUCACUUAACUAUUUAUACAGUUCUUACAUUUUUGAGAAUUUAACCCCCGUCUUUGCCGUAUUCCUCCUUCUUUAACCAGAACAAGCAGCUCUUCCUUUGAACUGGCCAUCCUAGGUGGGCUUUGGUAAUCCCUGGUGCUACCAUAAAAUCUUAUGUCGUGGGUCUCAAGUUUUAGUGUCCAUGAGAAUCAGCUGGAAAAUAUUGAAUAUAGAAUCCUCAGAUUCCCACCCAGUCUGCACAAAUCAGAAUUUCUGAAUGCAGAACAGAGAAUUUCAUUGUAGCGAUUGCCUUGGUGAUUCUAAUGCACAUAAAUGACUGAAAACACGCCUCUGUGGUUAUCAUAUUUAUUGUAAUUAUCUUUGUCUCAAACACUCUUUUACAGAACAGUCAGUGUUUUGGUCAAAUUUUUGUGUGUCUUUGGUAUCUAAUCCAAAGUCUGAAACAUAUCACACACUACCAUGUGUUUAUUUAACUAGCUCAUGAAUACUUCAUGUAGUAACGGUGAACCAGAGUGGGGAAAAAGAAUACCCAACUGGUUUAGGAUUUGAGUUGCUACUCUCUACCGGAGUAGGCGUCAUUUUAUUUUUGUUUUCUACAGAUAGGAUAUUUUAAAAGGGUAGUUAUUCUUGGUUAUACUUCAUCAAUAACUAACAGGUGAAUAAUUUAAACAUAGUCAAUAUUGGCAUUAGACUACUUAUUUGAAGGAAACUAUUCAAAAUGUAUGAACUUAGGCCAAAAGGCAGAGGAUUAAAGGGCAGAGAAAAGUGAGUUGCUUAUACUACCACAUGACUUUUACGUUUAUUUCUGCCAUUCAGAGCCCCUGAGAAUUAAGAAGCCUUUGUAAAUCAUACUACUUCUACCUCGUCUUUAUGUACUUUCCUUCUAUUUCUCCUCACAGAUUAUUUCAUUUUCUCUUCUCCCCUAUCCUCUAGUUCUUUCUUUAUUCCUAAUUCUCUCUUACAGAACUACAAUCAUAGCCAAAAAUAUUUUUUAAUAAACUUGGAGGUAUAAUUUACAUAAAGUUAAAUGUAUCCAUUUAAAGUGUACAGUUCAAUGAGUUUUGACAAUUAUCUGUGCCCAUGUAACCAUCACUGCAACCAAGGUACAGGACAUUUCCAUAACCCCCAUCAUUCUCUCAUGAUCCUUUGCAACAUUCUUCUCCCUGACCCCAUCUGCCCCUGGCAAACACUGGUCUACUUUCUGUUGUCAUAGAUUAGUUUUGUCUUUUUUAGAAUUUCAUAUAAAUGGAAUCACACAGUUUAUACUUUUUUAUAUUUGCUGCUAUCAUUCAGCAUCAUGGUUUUAAGAUUCAUUUAUGUUGUUCUACAUUAUCGGUAGUCCAUUUUUAUUUUUAAAUUCCAUUGUAUGAAUAUAUCACAAAUUGUUUAUUCAUGCGCCUAUUGUUCGCAUUUGGGUCGUUUCCAGUUUUUGGCUGUGACAAAUAAAGCUGCUAUGAACUUUUGAGUCUGAGUCUUUGUGUGGACAUAUGUUUUAAUUUUUCUGAGGUAAUCACCCAGGAGUUGAUUUGCUGGGUAGAUGAUAAGUACUUGUUUAACUUUAUAAGAAACUGGCAAUUCAUUUCCAAAGUAGUUGUGUCAUUUGUACAUUUCAAUUAGUAAAGUAGGAGAGUUGUAGUUUUUCCACAUUCCUGUCAAUACUUGGUAUUGUCAGUCUUUAUAAUUUUAGUCAUUCUAGUGGAUGUGCAGUGAUAUUUCAUGGUGAUUUUAUUCUGCAUUUCUUUGAUGUCUAAUGAUAUUGAGCAUCUUUUCAUGUGCUUAUUGGACAGUUGUAUAACUUUUUAAGUGGUCUGUUUCAAUCUUGUCCAUUUAAAUUAUAUUUAAUUUAGUAAUCUUAUUAUGAGGUACAAGAAUUAUUUAUAUAUCAACAACAUAUAAUUUGUUUCUAAUUUAAAAGUGUUAUUUUUCUGUUCAAUUAAAGUAGACGAGUCCUUGAUUUAAUUCAACAGUUCCUGUAUUUUGGCUUACAUCUAACUCAAGCACAGUCACUAGCCAGCUGGAAAAUCCAUCAUGAAGCCAGAAAUUGCUAUAAACUGCUACAUGAUAAUUAUCUAAUACUUUUGUAGAAGACCUAAGCCUAGGG
rnacentral:lncRNA from 1 species